rnacentral:rRNA from 1 species
UACGGAAGGGGCAAGCGUUGUUCGGAAUCAUUGGGCGUAAAGAGCGUGUAGGCGGCCAUGUAGGUCCGGUGUGAAAACUCGAGGCUUAACCUCGAGAUGUCAUCGGAAACCAUUUGGCUAGAGUCCGGAAGAGGAGAGUGGAAUUCCUGGUGUAGCGGUGAAAUGCGCAGAUAUCAGGAGGAACACCGGUGGCGAAGGCGGGUCUCUGGGCCGUAACUGACGCUGAGGAGCGAAAGCGUGGGGAGCGAACAGG